rnacentral:tRNA from 1 species
GCGUUGGUCUUGUAAACCAAAGGUUGGAUUAAAACAUUCCCAUUUGC